UACAUUACACACAAUUUAUUUAUGUUUUACCAUUAACUAAAACGUAUAAUAAGUUACAACACGAUAUUAGUUAACUUAUAUUUGUGUUCAAUUUUCAAAUAUUUUAGAUUGGUCAAAAAAAUAUAUUCACAUAAAACCCGACGAACAAUACCGAGAAAUACGAUUUUUCUAAUAGGUGCUAUUUUAUCUUUAAACAGUUAUAAAAGAAAACACUAAUAAAUUAAAACUCAAUAUACCUUUUUUGACCACUAAGUACAACUUAUAAUAAACCUUGUCCUUAAAAGAAAUUCUGUUUAGGAAUAGUAAAGGUUUUUAUCUCCAUUAAUAAGUACUAUGAAUAUCAAAAUUUCAUACCCCACCACGCUCAUCAAUGCACUAAAUCUAUUAUCGGAGGAAAACUGGUACACUUCAAUAAAUUGGAAAUUUCAAGUUUGUUGAUUGUCGUUAUGAGGCUGUUGCCUUAAAAUACCUAUUUGUUUUUCCAACAUUUCUCGCGUUUGACUGUGGCUAAUUUCGUGAGUUGUAGAAAUUGCGGUCUGAGGAUCGAUAACUACCUAUCUAAAAUAAUGUUUGGAAUUUUUUUUUGUAAAUUUCAUGUUUUCAUCUAGUUUGUGGUGUUAACUUAUGCAAAAUCCGAAAAUAUAAAAUUUUUCAAAUUACAGUUUUUCGUAAUAUACUAAUACCCAGUGGCGGCUCGAGAUGGUGCACAAAUUAAUAAUUAACAAGAAAUGACUAUGAUGUUAAUGUUUAUCGUUUUAACUGUAGUUUUUUAGUUUAUCUAUUACAAACUAAUCUUUUCUCUUUAUUAGUUUCAAUGACAAUACAAAUAAACAAUUGUGUUAAAGUCUAAUUAGAUAACUUAAUCUCCAAAAUAUAACAUACCUUUUUUUUGUUGCACUUUGGAUCCAAUUGUUGAG